rnacentral:lncRNA from 1 species
AGCUGUUCCUAUUCGGCCAUCUUGGCUCCUCGUUCCUGCUCUUAAGGGAAAUGUUUCCAGCUUUUGCCUGUUCAGUAUGAGGUUGGCUGUGGGUUUGUCAUAAAUGGUUUUCAUUAUUUUGAGGUAUGCUCCUUCAAUGUCUGGUUCCUUGAGGACUUUAACAUGAAGGGAUGUUGGAUUUAAUAGAAAGCUUUUUCUGCAUCUAUUGAGAAGAUUACAUGGUUUUUUUCUUUUAAUACUGUUUAUGUGGUAAAUUACAUUUAUUGAUUUGCAUACAUUGAACCAAACUUACAGCCCAAGAAUGAAACCUACUUCACUAUGGCAAACUAACUUUUUGAUGAGCUGCUGAAUUCAGUUUGCUAGUAUUUUGUUGAUGAUUUUUGCAUCUAUACACAUCAGGAAUACUGGCCUGUAGUUGUCUUUUUUGUUGUGUCUUUGCCAGGUUUUGGUAUCAAGGUGAUGCUGGAUUUAUAAAAUAAACUGUGGAGAAGUCCUUCCUUGUUCAUUUUCUGGAAUAAUUUCACUGGAAUUGGCACUAGCCCUUCUUUGGACAUCUGGUAGAAUUUGGCUGUGAAUCCAUCUGGUCCAGGGCUUUUUCUUGUUGUUUGCAUGGUAGAUCUCUCUCCAACCCUUUAUUCUGAGCCUACUGGUGCUGUUACAUGUGAGAUGGGUCUCUUGAAGACAGAAGACAAGCUUUUGAAUCCUUAAUCACUGAAUGAAGAUGACUAAUAUGUCAUGGACAUUGACUGAGUGAUCUACAUGAAAUUAACCUUCUCCUGGAAUAACAUGUCAAGGUACCACAAAGCAAAAGGUGGGAGAAGAACCAAUAAUGAGUUUUGAACUGACUGAGAAUAAAGAAGCGCUGGGUUAAUUCUUGUUUUAAUAAGCUGUUGUGAAAUUUAAAAGAUUGGCACCCCCCCUCCACAAUCACACAUGCAAAGUUUUAAAAAUAUUAUUAUCCUAGUUAUCAGGAGUAGUUCUUUAUCCAUUACAAUUCAAAGUUCAGAAAGGAGAGACACAUCUUUCUUUGUACUCUUCUCAGUGUCUACCAUAGGAGGGUUUAGUCCCAGUAGAUACCCAAUUAGAAAUGCUCGCUUCCUUAUAUCACUCAUCAAUAGGGAAUGCUGGGGUUCUUCCAUUUCUAAGUCACUUUUAGAUGUUUCCUAUUAACAUAACACUGGGCGUUACUGUAAAGUACCAGUAAAAGGAUAGUGGGAAGAAAGUAAUUGUUACCUACACAUUAAUAAACUUAGGAUUGUACCUAAAAAGAUGACUCAUUAAACCAGAAAGUUUUUCUAAAUAUUGCCUAUGUUGAAGUAAGAUACAUAUACCCUAGCACCCUAGGCACCCUGCUGGUCUGUAGGAAAACAAUUUGUUUGAAGAGUGCUCUUCCCCCAGUGUUGUAGCACAGGUUUACAAGAUACCAAUCAGGGUUAAGUAGCACCAGUCAAGAAUCAAUUUUCCUGGUUUAACAUAUGCCCAAAAUGUUUACUGUCACUCUGAAUUUAUAUUCACUCUUUGGAAGUAUUUGCAAUGGAAUCUGGCACACUGAGCAACUGUAGAAAAUAUAACAGGGUUAUAAGAUGGCAAUUUUAUGGAAAUCCAGUUAUUAAAUCAGAUUUAUUAAAAGUGCACUUACAGAAAAAGAUUAUAAUGAUUAUAGAAAAAUCUUGAUCCAUUUGUGUUAAUAAUUUGUGUUAGGAAGCCUUUUAGCAAUUCAGUGAGUGGCACUAUUAUACAAAAAAAAAUUUCUAGAGUCUACAUUGAAAAAUAUGAGAACCUUCCAUAUAUUAAAAAUAAUGGAGAAUAUUCCUAUAAAAGUACAACUUUUUCACAACAAAGAGGAGAAUGUAUAUGAAGAGGUGCUUCUUCCUUCAUCUCAACAUCACCACUUCUUUGAUAUUGAUUUUUUUCACUUAAUCUCUAUAGGCUAAAAGACAAUCUGAGUUUUGUUCUCACUUUCCCUCCAAAGUAUGCAGAAAUUCACAGCUUUGAUAGUACUUUAUUGAAUUUACCUUAUCCCUACAGCUAAAUAGUCACUAUGCAUAUUUUUGUGAGCAUCCACAAAAUCACUACAACCUAGUCUACAUAAUUUGGUUGUGACUCACACAGCUUUCCCCCAGCCUGCUGAACUACCUUUCAAGAUACCAGUCUUUUCCUUUUUCUUUUUAAUAUGUAUGUUCUUCAGGCAAUGACUUUUGAAAUUUUCUAAGCUUCCUCCCAAUUCUUAGCCUUAUCAUAUCAAAGAAAAGAGUUGAGAUUUUUUUCACUGGAGGCUUUUUCAACAGAUACUUGGAAAUUUAUGAUCCCAUAAUUGAUCUGGGCUCAACUGCAUAGUGCCAAAAUCUAAUAAAUAAUAAUGCCUAAAUGUAUAUAAUAUCUCAUAGCUUACAAUGCACCUUCACAAAUAUUAUUUUAUUUGAUCAUCACAAAAUCCUCUGCAGUGGGUAGCGCAGAUAUAAUCACCGUUUUAUGUGUGUCAAGUAAAGUCAUGAUGUGAUGCAAUGGCAGAUUUGAAAAUAGAAGCCACUUCUAAAAUUUUUGUCUCCCAUCUACUUUUCCCUAAUACACUUAGCUCCUAUUAUACA